rnacentral:lncRNA from 1 species
CUGACUUAAAUGCAUAUACUUCUAGUUGUAUGUGUGGCUAAUAUUUGUUGAGUAUUAUUAUAUACUAGAUACUGAGCCCAGAGCUUUCCUCAUGUUAUAUUUUUUUAAUCCUCAAAACUUAAUGAAUUGGGUACCAUUAUCAUGCCCAUUUUAUAGGUAGGGAAACUGAAUUUUUGUUAGAUUAAGUAAUUUGCUCAAAGUCAAAUAGCUGCUAACAGGAAGACCAGUGAUUCAAACCUAGAGAUCUGCCACUGGAGCCUGAGUUUCCUAUCAGAAGGCUAUUCCUUUUGUUAUUAUGAAACACACUCAACUGCAAUUUAACUAUUCUUAUCAUAUGUUAUAUUUUAAAUAAGGCAUAGGAAGUUAAUCACAACAUUUUCCCCCAGAUUUAGUAUUAUUUUGCUGGUGGCACUGAAUUGUUAUUUUGAAUCAAAUUCUUCUCAGACCUCAACCACCUUUGGCACAUCAUAGAAAUUUAUUUUUAAGUACCCUUUUGGGUUGUUUCUAUCUUACAGAUUUUCUCCAUUUUAACCAUUUGAUUAUAUAUCUGCUUGAGCUAUUAGUAUAUUUUCAGGCUAUUAGUGGCAAUCAUAAGGUAAAGGCUUAGUAUGAUUUUCUUUAUUUUAGAGGUGAUACAUUAUAGUUGUUUUAUAUAGAGACUUUGAAGACAGUCUUCAGUUUGAAUUCUG